ensembl:lncRNA
AAUACAGUUUGGGACCUGUAGAGUUGGUGGCAUCUCUUGCCAUCCACAUGGAGAUGACCAGUGUUCGCCUGCAUGGAUGGGUAUGGAGGCUGGCGAGGAUCUGAGCUGGAGACAGACUGUGAGCCUGAGACCCAGGGAGCUUAGAAACCCGGCCAGAAUCUGGCAGAGCGGGGGCCCUAACCCGCCGUCUGAGCCCACGGUGGCACCCUUAAUCACCAAGCUCCACAGUGUGGGGGACGAGAGAGUGGAACUACCGGAGAAGACACGGGGAUGCGGCUCGGAGAGAGAGGAUGGACUGAAGCGAUUUGAAAGGCGUUGUGGAAAGCAUACACGGAUAUUUUUUUCUUUCAUUUAAUCCUCAAACAAGCCUAUGAGGAAGAUUCUCCCUGAGCUAACAUCCACCUCCAAUCUUCUCCUUUUUUUGGUAUGUGAGCCGCUGCCACAGCAUGGCCACUGACAGACCAGUGGUAUAGGUCCACGCCUGGGAACCAGACGGAGGCUGCUGAAGCAGAGUGCAACAAACUUAACCACUAGGCCUCUGGGGCUGGCCCUUCCCUUUAUUUUGAAUACUGGGAUGCUCUGAGCUCAUUCUGCUUGAUUUGGUAGCUUUCUUCGGCCAUAGUUUGAAGGGAAAGUUUGCCUUCUUGGUCUUUUGUCUUUCAUGAGUGAUUUUGAGGGAGGCAGAGCAGAGGAGUGGAGAAAGCAUGGGUUUCACAGCCAGCUCCCAGUCAGGGCCUUGCUCCUUUGCUCACUAGGGACAUGCCUUGACUUGGGCGGCAUUCCCCAAGAGGGUGAACUUGAGACAAAGGUGUGAAAGCACAUAAUUCACCUGCUUGGGGGCAGCAGGAAACACCAGGAAGGGAGGAGAGAUGUGAGGAAGUGAGGGAAGGAAACCACCCCAGGAUGCUCUAAGGAGGAGGGGCAACAGAGGAUUAAUCCCAGCUGGGACCCUGGGGAGACUGUGUAGCACUCGCCUCGGAGACGUCCUCCCCAAGGGGUGUUUAACCAUCAGCUUCCAUCAGACACUGGUCAAGAGCUGCUCUGGGAGGUCAUAAUUCUGGACACUUCUGGCCUGCCCUGAGCACAGGCUGAGCUAGUGCCUGUGCCCAGAGAAAGCCCUCAGGAAGGGACCCCGGGUGCUUAUAGUAAGAAGGCAGCAGGAUGGUGAGUGCUCAGGGCAUAAAGGAGGGGCAAUGACAGUGUCUGCUACAGACUAUAAAAGGAGAUAAGAGGAAUAAUAAAAACUUGAAUGCUAACUUCAGCGUAGGGCUGGAAAACUCAAUGAGGUAAUAUGUGUGAAACCACUGUGUAAAUUUAAAAGCAUCAUACAAAUGUUCCAUUUGAUCCCCUUGCUGGUGGUGAUGAUGAAAACAAUGACUCAUAAGCUAAUUUACUUGCUCCACCUCCCUCAUAGGAAUCUCUGAGCGGAGACUGGGUUCCCCCAUAGAUUUUAAGUCUUUACCUGGUAACUUUCCAAGGUGGCUGGAAGUGACGUUUCCUCAGUUGGGUGAACUUUCUUUCAGAGUGAAAAAUGAAACCCUCUUCAGAGUUCCCUCUCCCUCCAGGCCCAGAUCUCACAACUUUCAGCAAAUAAACAGACAUGUCUGUUAGUUUAUUUCUAACAUUUUUAAAUUCAACUUUUUGAAUAGGUUAUAUAUUUGCGUGGGGCAAACUUCUGAAAUCUAUGAAGAGGUGUCCAUGAAACCCUCCUGGGCCCCAGUUGCUCAGUUUCCUUCAGAUCGCCAUACCUGUUCGUUCCCUGUGUAACUUGAGUGUGUGUAUGUAUGUGUUGUGUAUUUAUAUUUAUUUACAUUUACGCAAACUGAGUUCUUAUUUUCCCUCUUUUUUUAAAAACAAAAGAUAUCCAACAAUGCAGGCUGUUCUUCACCUUGCUUUUAUUGUUGAGCACGGCCUGAGCUCGCUUUCUUUAAAAGCUCUGUAAUAUUCCAUAGAGCUUCUUGUUGCAGAAGAUAAUAAUGUCCAGUGAUCAACGAGCCUGCUGGGGGCCAGCCCCAUGCACGUGCCUUACACGCAUGAUCUCCUCUCACCCUCACAGCCCCAGGAGGGAAACCAGGGGCUGUGGUUACCACCACCGUUUUACUAUAAGGAACUGAGGCGCAUUGCGAGAUUAAGAACCUCGUGCAAGGUGACCCGGCAGCCAAGUGGCAGACCAACCCUGGUGGCAAGCCUGGCCCUGUCAGACUCCAGAUGUGUCUCUCACCCACUAAACCACUCUGCCAUGAAGGCAGCGAGCUGUGCGAAAUAAGGCCUCAAGGCCGACUUGGGUAUUUUCUUGGCAACAUGCCACGGUGUCUUGUAUGCUCUUGUUUUAUUUGAGUGAGUAUUUAUAUAAGUUUCUGCAUUUUUGCCUUUAAAGGAUCCCAUUUGAGGCAUGAGGCAUGAAUGAAUGGCUGGAAGAUAUUGCCUGUUUUAAGGACAGGCCUGAGAAUUUGCAGGUGCUGCUGGUGGAAUGCAGGGGAGCAGCUGCUCGGAGCACCGGGGAGCCACGGGGAGGGGGUACACUGUGGGGCUGGGGCUGGGGCCGUGCUGAGCUCAGGGAAGGGUCCAGGGCUCUGGGCCAGAGGGUGGAAUUAAGAGAGGAAGCUGGAGCCUUGUGGGAGAGGGGAGCUGGAACCAAGAACAGUGUGAAAGUAGGAAGAGUGUCUGGAAUUAUCUGGUCCAAGGCCACGUUUUUCAGAUGGGGACACAGAUCCAAAGCAAUGUGGUGGUGCUCUGAAGUUCACGGGGAGCAGAGCUGAAUGAGAGGCCAGGGCUCCUGACCCCUAAGCCAGAGCUCCCUUUACCACCACUCGGAAGACAAAAGCAAAGAGUGUGUGUGUGUCUGGUGUCUGCGGGUCUGGGGAAAAUGCAUCUGCGCAUGAAACUCAGCAUGCAGCACAGCUGAGGAAUGGACAGUAAGAGGAACUCAGGCAAGGAAGAGCGAGGACAAAAAGGAAAUACAACUAAGAAAUCCUUCCAACACUCGUGCAAGCCCAAGGAUUUCCAUCUGGAACUUUGCCAUCUUCGAUUCCAUGAUGAUGUUUGACAACAGAUCUGGUAUUCAUUUUGGGGGUUGUUGUUUAUUUUUACCACUCUGGCAACUGCAGAUUUUAGAGUUCUCAGGCUCUUUGUCAGCUUCACAGAAGUUCUCAGUUAUCCACGGCCUCUGUCAUUCCACAUGUGCAGGGACAUGUUGCCAUUGCCUGCCCAGCACCAUUUGCUCCUUUU